rnacentral:lncRNA from 1 species
UUAAACAUGCGUGAUGUAAUUUGCAUAGCUAAAUUAAAUGCUCUUUGCGCUUAGUGUUGCGCAGUUUGGUUUGUGCGCAGUUUUUCUUCUGUUCUGGAAUUUUAAGAUUAGAAUUUCCAGACUUAUUUUAAAAAGCGCGUUUUCGUUUUAAUUUUUUUUUACAUCUAAUCGUACCUAUCAAGUAGAUCAUAUUCAGUAUAAUCAAUUCAAUCGUUUUCAUUUUUUAUGUUUUAACAUGUCUAUUACCUUUAUUAAAUUUGUUUUUAAGCAUAUUUGUUUUUAUUUUUUAUAUCGAAUUAAUAGAAUGAAUCAGAUUGAAGAUGAAGUUGCUGAAUUACUAAGAAAUGAUGACAAUAUUGAAGCAAACGUUAUUGAUAAUAUU